rnacentral:rRNA from 1 species
GACGAACGCUGGCGGCGUGCUUAACACAUGCAAGUCGAGCGGUAAGGCCCUUUCGGGGUACGACGAGCGGCGAACGGGUGAGUAACACGUGGGUGACCUGCCCUCAGCUCUGGGAGUAAGCCUCGGGAAACGUGGGUCGUAAUACCGGAUAUGACUCCAUGACGCAUGUUGUGGGGUGGAAAGCCUUGUGCGGCUGAGGAUGGGCCCGCGGCCUAUCAGCUUGUUGGUGGGGUGAGGCCUACCAAGGCGACGACGGGUAGCCGGCCUGAGAGGGCGACCGGCCACACUGGGACUGAGACACGGCCCAGACUCCUACGGGAGGCAGCAGUGGGGAAUCUUGCGCAAUGGGCGAAAGCCUGACGCAGCGACGCCGCGUGAGGGAUGACGGCCUCGG